GCUAAAGCCGGGCCAGCGUGGUGUGGAAUACUGAGGAUCCGAGUGUUAUCCGGAGUUAUUGGGGUUAAAGGGAGCGUAUAUGGAUGUUGAAGUCAGUUGUGAAAGUUUGCGGCUCAACCGUAAAAUUGCAGUUGAUACUGGAUAUCUUGAGUGCAGGUGAGGCAGGCGGAAUUCGUGGUGUAGCGGUGAAAUGCUUAGAUAUCACGAGGAACUCCGAUUGCGAAGGCAGCCUGCUAAGCUGCAACUGACAUUGAGGCUCGAAAGUGUGGGUAUCAAACAGGAUUAGAUACCCGUGUAGUC
rnacentral:rRNA from 1 species